rnacentral:rRNA from 1 species
GAUGAACGCUGACAGAAUGCUUAACACAUGCAAGUCAACUUGAACUUCGGUUUGGGUGGCGGCCGGGUGAGUAACGCGUAAAGAACUUUCCUCACAGCUAGGGACAACAUUUGGAAACGAAUGCUAAUACCUGACAUUAUUAGUUUAGGGCAUCCUAGCCUUAUGAGAGUUAUAUGCGCUGUGAGAGCGCUUUGCGUCCCAUUAGCUAGUUGGAGAGGUAACGGCUCACCAAGGCGAUGAUGGGUAGCCGGCCUGAGAGGGUGAACGGCCACAAGGGGACUGAGACACGGCCCUUACUCCUACGGGAGGCAGCAGUGGGGAAUAUUGGAUAAUGGACCAAGAGUCUGAUCCAGCAAUUCUGUGUGCACGAUGAAGUUUUUCGGAAUGUAAAGUGCUUUCAGUUGGGAAGAAAAAAAUGACGGUACCAACAGAAGAAGUGACGGCUAAAUACGUG